UUGGGUAGAGAAUUCUAUUGCUCCAAAGAUUCCAGAGUGGUAGCAUUCUUCACGGAGAUUUGUGAUGUCUGAUGUCUAAGUGCUGAAAUCAGCAAUGAAUCAACACCUGGAUUUAAUGUCGGAUCUCGUUUAGAAAUUUAAUGGUGAACUUCGCGCUGGGUUGCAACCUGCUGUUGAUAAUUUCCGUAGCUUCUUCCAUGCAAUCGAUUGAAAGCUUCAUUUGAGAGGAUACGAAGAUGUCUGAUCACGAGGAACCAGUUAGCAAGAAGGCACACCAAUUGACAUUUCUUAAAGCAGUCAGAUGUUGUUGCAGCUAGAGUCCGACCAUGACAUCAUUCCGAGGCAUUUGAAUCACACUGACGAGUUUUUCUCUGUUCAACUUAUCAUUCAGGCAUAACAACCGAAUAUCAGAACAAGUUCCAAUCGGCGAGCAGUGGUGAUUGAAAUCUUGCAUGCUUCUGGUGACCAGACCACUGAUAUUGGCUGGUAUGUGAAGUGUACAGUUCUUGGAGGAAUCUACUCUGCGGCUGUGGUUUAAAAUAUGCUGACUGAUAAUUCACCAGGUUACUAACUGCUUCUCUUUGUGCUCAGAAUUUGUUUGCGCUUAGGUUCACAUGAAAAAUCUGAGUGCUGUCUGAUUAAGCUAUAUUGUUCAUUUGGUUACCUGAAGAUUUUGCUGGAGUUACCUGAAGUGGUUUUAACAAAAGUAGUUUAUCCUUCUAUUUUCAAGUGAAAUGACACUGCUGGGUUUCAAUAAAAAGCCCAGAUUCUUUUCAAUUGAAACACUUAUGUUAUCAGUGGCA